rnacentral:rRNA from 1 species
CGGCAGGCCUAACACAUGCAAGUCGAGCGGUAACAGAGAGUAGCUUGCUACUUUGCUGACGAGCGGCGGACGGGUGAGUAAUGCUUGGGAACAUGCCUUGAGGUGGGGGACAACAGUUGGAAACGACUGCUAAUACCGCAUAAUGUCUACGGACCAAAGGGGGCUUCGGCUCUCGCCUUUAGAUUGGCCCAAGUGGGAUUAGCUAGUUGGUGAGGUAAUGGCUCACCAAGGCAACGAUCCCUAGCUGGUUUGAGAGGAUGAUCAGCCACACUGGGACUGAGACACGGCCCAGACUCCUACGGGAGGCAGCAGUGGGGAAUAUUGCACAAUGGGCGCAAGCCUGAUGCAGCCAUGCCGCGUGUGUGAAGAAGGCCUUCGGGUUGUAAAGCACUUUCAGUCAGGAGGAAAGGUUAGUAGUUAAUACCUGCUAGCUGUGACGUUACUGACAGAAGAAGCACCGGCUAACUCCGUGCCAGCAGCCGCGGUAAUACGGAGGGUGCGAGCGUUAAUCGGAAUUACUGGGCGUAAAGCGUACGCACGCGGUUUGUUAAACGAGAUGUGAAACCCCCCGGCUCAACCUGGGAACUG